CCCGCAGCCCCUUCGCAGGCCCGCGCGCGGCCGGAGCCCUGGGGAGGGCUGUCCUGGCGUCCGCUGCUACUAGCGCCGCGCUCCUCUGACCAAACACUGCGGGAGCCUUCAGUGAGCCGGCUAUUCCAACCUAGCCACAAGUCUGUCCGUCCCGCAGCAGGCGCGGUGAAACGUGCGCGCUGGCGAACUAGGCGGGCUCGGCAGGACGCGGCCGUGCCGUCCCGUGUGGAUUUGGCGCCGGGUGGCCCUGAGGAUGUCGCGCAGAAGCCGUACGGGCCUCGGGACGCAGGCCCGCGUGGCUGCAGCGCACCCGGGGAGGCUCUGGGGGUCCCGAGCAGGCGCAGGCUCGCGAGACCCCCCUGGCCGCUGCGGGGAGCGCUGGGGAGGCGUCCAGAGCGGGCGCCAGAGACCCGCGGGCGCCCGGUGCAGGGGCUGCCGGGGCUGGGGCCCGGGUGUGGGAAGUGCCCGCUCCCGGUAGAUGCUGAAGGCGGAGUUGCCAGGAUUUGCUGAGGACUUUUGGAGGAAUGAGGCGGGGAAGGACGAGCUUGAGAACCGACACCGGAGAGAUGGGGAAGACGGGGGAGGCCUGAGCGCGGGCUGGCAUGGCUGGGGAGGUUGUGCACUGCCCAAGGAUGCUCACUGAGGAGCGUCUUCACGUUUCAUCGUGGGUUCCGUGUUUAUUACGACGACUACCAGCAGCUCCCGAGGAGCAGCGACAGAUGGUGGGGUGGGGGGGCCCAAGCUGACCUCAGGCGGUCGGUCCUCCUUCCCAGGAGCCUCAGCGUGUGUGUCCGCAGGUGUCCCUUUAUUUAGCGCCCCUGGGGGAAUGGGACGUGCCAGAGAUGGAGUGGGCAGAGGCUGCUGCACUGGAUGAAGAGGAAUAUGUGGGAAUCGCAUGUGGGGUGUGCCUGAGGACCAAGGCCUGAACCCUGGGACUCCAACUUGAAGAGGUUUGGAAUCUGCAAAGGAGACCAGAAGGAGCACAGGGGUGCUAGGGGUGGAGGGCUGGAGGAAAAACCAGGAGAGGGGCUUCUGGAGGCCAGGGAGGGCUUGCACACACAUCCGAGGGAGGGAGGGAGCCUGGGUGCAGCAGGGUGGGUCGCUGCCAUUCACCGAGGGCCGGCGGCGCUGGGGCCAGGGGCUGGAGUUUGGAGAGUGAGCAGAGAGCGCGCGGGGCUGUGAACACCAGCUUCUCUUUCAGGUCGAUUUACUGCAAAGGGGAAGGUAAAGGUGGAGGUAACUGAGGAGCAGGGCAAGAGAGGGGUGUGGUUUUCUGUAGGGUCCAGUCCUACAGGGGCUUAGUGAGUGUUCUCCGCGUGUGCGGAAAGAUUGUAAUAAAUAAAGACACAAAACAGAGAGAGAAAGAGAAAGCAGCUGGGCCCCGGGGACCACUACCAUCAAGACGCAGAGACCAGCGGUGGCCCUGAAUGGCUGGGUAGCCGAAGCACAGAGAGAAGGCAGCAUACAUCGGCAUUUUCUUCAAUGCACUUAUGAGAAAGAUCAAAGACUUUAAAACUUUCACUAUGUUUUCUAUCGCUAUCUACUACGAACUUCAAAGAGGAACCAGGAGUACGGGAGGAACAUGAAAGUGGACGAGGAGUGUGACCGUUGAAGCACAGCACCACAGGGAGGGGUUUAGGCCUCCGGAUGACUGCGGGCAGGCCUGGAUAAUAUCCAGCCUUCCACAAGAAGCCGGUGGAGCAGUGUUCCCCGACUCCUCCAAGGAAAGGAGACUCCCUUUCGCGGUCUGCUAAGUAACGGGUGUCUUCCCAGACACUGGCGUUACCGCUUGACCAAGGAGCCCUCACGCGGCCCUUAUGCGGGCGUGAUAGAGGGCUCACCUCUUGCCUUCUACGUCACUUCUCAGGAUGUCCCUUCAGCACCUGACCCUAGGCCCGUCGGUUAUUCCUUGGUUAUAUUAGUAAUGCAACAAAGAGUAAUAUUAAAAGCUAAUGGUUAAUAAUGUUUAUAACAAUGAUUGAUAAUUGUCCAUAA